UACGGAGGGGGUUAGCGUUGUUCGGAUUUACUGGGCGUAAAGGGCGCGCAGGCGGCUCAUUUUGUCAGGCGUGAAAGCCCCGGGCUUAACCUGGGAACUGCGUUUGAUACGGAUGGGCUAGAGUUCGGGAGAGGAGAGUGGAAUUCCCAGUGUAGAGGUGAAAUGCGCAGAUAUCAGGAGGAACACCAAUUGCGAAGGCAGCUCGCUGGGACGUUACUGACGCUGAGACGCGAAAGCGUGGGGAGCAAACAGG
rnacentral:rRNA from 1 species